CACCCAACAGCUAGCCCCCCAACCAAAAAACAAUAAACCAUUAUCAAUACCCCUAAAUACACAAACACUUACACUAAACAAACCAUUUUUCCCCCCAAGUAUGGGCGACAGAAAAGGAAUUCAGGAGCAAUAGAGAAAGUACCGCAAGGGAACGCUGAAAGAGAAAUGAAAUAAACCAGUAAAGUUUAAAAAAGCAGAGACUUAAACUCGUACCUUUUGCAUCAUGAUUUAGCUAGUAAACUCCAAGCAAAGAGCACUUUAGUUUGCCUCCCCGAAACUAAGUGAGCUACUCCAAGACAGCCUAUAAUUAGGGCCAACCCGUCUCUGUGGCAAAAGAGUGGGAAGAGCUUCGAGUAGAGGUGACAAACCAACCGAACUUAGUCAUAGCUGGUUGCCUGAGAACUGGAUAGAAGUUCAGCCUCUCGGCUUCUCCCUUCACUUAUGCCUCAGCUUUUCCUGAUACAAGAGAAACCAAGAGAGUUAGUUAAAGGGGGUACAGCCCCUUUAAACCAAGAUACAACUUUUCUAGUUGGGUAAAGAUCAUAAUUGCCCAAGGUAAAAUGUUUUAGUGGGCCUAAAAGCAGCCACCUAAAAGAAAGCGUUAAAGCUCAGACAUUCCCCACAACCUUCAAUCCCGAUAACCUAUCUUAUCCCCCUAAUCCUACCAGGCCACCUCAUGCAAACAUGAGGGCGAUCCUGCUAAUAUGAGUAAUAAGAGAGCACACCUCUCUCCCUGCACAUGUGUAAAUCGGAACGGACCCCCCACCGAACAUUACCGGCCCCAAACAAAGAGGGCACUGAACAACAAACCAAACAACCAGAAAACCACCCAGCCUCAUACCGUUGACCCUACACCGGCGUGCUUACAAGGAAAGACCAAAAGAAAAAGAAGGAACUCGGCAAACACAAGCCUCGCCUGUUUACCAAAAACAUCGCCUCUUGCAAAACCAAGGAAUAAGAGGUCCCGCCUGCCCUGUGACAAAUUGUUUAACGGCCGCGGUAUUUUGACCGUGCAAAGGUAGCGCAAUCACUUGACUUUUAAAUGAAGACCUGUAUGAACGGCAUAACGAGGGCUUAGCUGUCUCCUUUUUCAAGUCAAUGAAAUUGAUCUUCCCGUGCAGAAGCGGGAAUAAGACCAUAAGACGAGAAGACCCUAUGGAGCUUUAGACACCAAAGCAGAUCUUGUUACACACCUCAUAAACAAAUGAACCAAACCAAAAGAAUCCUGCCCUAAUGUCUUUGGUUGGGGCGACCGCGGAGAAACAAACAACCCCCACGUGGACUAAGAACAUCCUUCUUACAACCAAGAGCUACAGCUCUAAUUAACAGAACUUCUGACCAUAAGAUCCGGCAACGCCGAUCAACGGACCGAGUUACCCUAGGGAUAACAGCGCAAUCCCCUUUUAGAGUCCAUAUCGACAAGGGGGUUUACGACCUCGAUGUUGGAUCAGGACAUCCUAAUGGUGCAGCCGCUAUUAAGGGUUCGUUUGUUCAACGAUUAAAGUCCU
rnacentral:rRNA from 1 species